GACGAACGCUGGCGGCGUGCUUAACACAUGCAAGUCGAACGGAAAGGCCCUGCUUGCAGGGUACUCGCGUGGCGAACGGGUGAGUAACACGUGGGUGAUCUGCCCUGCACUUCGGGAUAAGCCUGGGAAACUGGGUCUAAUACCGGAUAGGAGCCAUUUUUAGUGUGAUGGUUGGAAAGUUUUUUCGGUGUAGGAUGAGCUCGCGGCCUAUCAGCUUGUUGGUGGGGUAAUGGCCUACCAAGGCGGCGACGGGUAGCCGGCCUGAGAGGGUGGACGGCCACAUUGGGACUGAGGUACGGCCCAGACUCCGACGGGAGGCAGCAGUGGGGAAUCUUGCACAAUGGGCGCAAGCCUGAUGCAGCGACGCCGCGGGGGGGAGGACGGCCUUCGGGUUGUAAACUCCUUUCGCUAGGGACGAAGCUUUUUGUGACGGUACCUAGAGAAGAAGCACCGGCUAACUACGUG
rnacentral:rRNA from 1 species